rnacentral:rRNA from 1 species
CACGUAGGGAGCAAGCGUUGUCCGGAUUUAUUGGGCGUAAAGAGCUCGUAGGUGGUUCGGUAAGUCAGGUGUGAAACCUCCAGGCUCAACCCUGGGAUGCCGGUCGAUACUGCCGGACUAGAGUUCGGAAGAGGCGAGUGGAAUUCCCGGUGUAGCGGUGAAAUGCGCAGAUAUCAGGAGGAACACCGGUGGCGAAGGCGGGUCUCUGGGCAACAACUGACGCUGAGGAGCGAAAGCGUGGGGAGCGAACAGG